UGGCGAACGGGUGAGUAACACGUGGGUGAUCUGCCCUGCACUUUGGGAUAAGCCUGGGAAACUGGGUCUAAUACCGAAUAUGAUCAUGGCCUUCAUGGGUUGUGGUGGAAAGCUUUUGCGGUGUGGGAUGGGCCCGCGGCCUAUCAGCUUGUUGGUGGGGUAAUGGCCUACCAAGGCGACGACGGGUAGCCGGCCUGAGAGGGUGUCCGGCCACACUGGGACUGAGAUACGGCCCAG
rnacentral:rRNA from 1 species